rnacentral:rRNA from 1 species
GACGAACGCUGGCGGCGUGCUUAACACAUGCAAGUCGAACGGAAAGGCCCCUUUGGGGGUACUCGAGUGGCGAACGGGUGAGUAACACGUGAGUAACCUGCCCUUGACUUCGGGAUAACUUCAGGAAACUGGGGCUAAUACCGGAUAGGAAUCCUUGCUGCAUGGUGGGGGUUGGAAAGCUUCGGCGGUUUUGGAUGGACUCGCGGCUUAUCAGCUUGUUGGUGGGGUAGUGGCUUACCAAGGCUUUGACGGGUAGCCGGCCUGAGAGGGCGACCGGCCACAUUGGGACUGAGGUACGGCCCAGACUCCUACGGGGGGCAGCAGUGGGGAAUAUUGUACGAUGGGCGGAAGCCUGAUGCAGCAACGCCGCGUGCGGGAUGACGGCCUUCGGGUUGUAAACCGCUUUCAGCAGGGGCGAAGCUUGUGGUGACGGUACCUGCAGAAGAAGCACCGGCUAACUACGUG